CGUCGCCGCGUCCCCGGUGCGGGACGCCGUCGACUGGUCGGCGGUCGAUCUGUUCUGGGGUGACGAGCGGUUCGUGCCCGCCGACGACGGC
rnacentral:tRNA from 2 species